rnacentral:rRNA from 1 species
GGAGUUUGGUCCGUGUCUCAGUACCAAUGUGGGGGACCUUCCUCUCAGACUCCCCUACCGAUCGUAGCUUUGGUGGGCCGUUCGCCCCGCCAACUGGCUAAUCGGACGCGAGCCUAUCCGUGGACAUCUCUCGACUAUCAAAUCAUGAACAUGUGAUCACGAUUGUUACGGGGUAUUAGGCGGC